rfam:Dipodomys ordii contig_65279, whole genome shotgun sequence.
GGUGGCUCAGUGGGAGAGUGCUUGCCUUGCAUGCAUGAGGCCCUGGGUUUGAUUCCUCAGCACCA